GAUGAACGCUGGCGGCGUGCCUAAUACAUGCCAGUCGAGCGAACGGACGAGAAGCUUGCUUCUCUGAUGUUAGCGGCGGACGGGUGAGUAACACGUGGAUAACCUACCUAUAAGACUGGGAUAACUUCGGGAAACCGUAGCUAAUACCGGAUAAUAUUUUGAACCGCAUGGUUCAAAAGUGAAAGACGGUCUUGCUGUCACUUAUAGAUUGAUCCGCGCUGCAUUAGCUAGUUGGUAAGGUAACGGCUUACCAAGGCAACGAUGCAUAGCCGACCUGAGAGGGUGAUCGGCCACACUGGAACUGAGACACGGUCCAGACUCCUACGGGAGGCAGCAGUAGGGAAUCUUCCGCAAUGGGCGAAAGCCUGACGGAGCAACGCCGCGUGAGUGAUGAAGGUCUUCGGAUCGUAAAACUCUGUUAUUAGGGAAGAACAUAUGUGUAAGUAACUGUGCACAUCUUGACGGUACCUAAUCAGAAAGCCACGGCUAACUACGUG
rnacentral:rRNA from 1 species